rnacentral:rRNA from 1 species
CGGUAGCAGGCCUUCGGGUGCUGACGAGCGGCGGACGGGUGAGGAAUGCAUAGGAGUCUGCCUAUUAGUGGGGGAUAACACGGGGAAACUCGUGCUAAUACCGCAUACGUCCUACGGGAGAAAGCGGGGGAUCUUCGGACCUCGCGCUAAUAGAUGAGCCUAUGCCGGAUUAGCUAGUUGGUAGGGUAAAGGCCUACCAAGGCGACGAUCCGUAGCUGGUCUGAGAGGAUGAUCAGCCACACUGGGACUGAGACACGGCCCAGACUCCUACGGGAGGCAGCAGUGGGGAAUAUUGGACAAUGGGCGCAAGCCUGAUCCAGCCAUGCCGCGUGUGUGAAGAAGGCCUUCGGGUUGUAAAGCACUUUAAGUGGGGAGGAAGGUUAGUGGUUUAAUACGCUACUAAAUUGACGUUACCCACAGAAUAAGCACCGGCUAACUCUGUGCCAGCAGCCGCGGUAAUACAGAGGGUGCAAGCGUUAAUCGGAAUUACUGGGCGUAAAGCGCGCGUAGGUGGUUUUGUAAGUUGAAUGUGAAAUCCCCGGGCUUAACCUGGGAAUGGCAUCCAAAACUGCACGACUAGAGUAUGGGAGAGGGAGGCAGAAUUCCAGGUGUAGCGGUGAAAUGCGUAGAGAUCUGGAGGAAUACCGGUGGCGAAGGCGGCCUCCUGGCCUAAUACUGACACUGAGGUGCGAAAGCGUGGGUAGCAAACAGGAUUAGAUACCCUGGUAGUCCACGCCGUAAACGAUGAGAACUAGCCGUUGGUCUCCUUGAGAGGUUAGUGGCGCAGCUAACGCGAUAAGUUCUCCGCCUGGGGAGUACGGCCGCAAGGUUAAAACUCAAAUGAAUUGACGGGGGCCCGCACAAGCGGUGGAGCAUGUGGUUUAAUUCGACGCAACGCGAAGAACCUUACCUGGUCUUGACAUCCACGGAAUCCUGCAGAGAUGUGGGAGUGCCUUCGGGAACCGUGAGACAGGUGCUGCAUGGCUGUCGUCAGCUCGUGUUGUGAAAUGUUGGGUUAAGUCCCGUAACGAGCGCAACCCUUGUCCUUAGUUGCCAGCGAGUAAUGUCGGGAACUCUAAGGAGACUGCCGGUGACAAACCGGAGGAAGGUGGGGACGACGUCAAGUCAUCAUGGCCCUUACGACCAGGGCUACACACGUGCUACAAUGGCCGGUACAGAGGGUUGCCAAGCCGCGAGGUGGAGCCAAUCCCGAAAAGCCGGUCGUAGUCCGGAUUGCAGUCUGCAACUCGACUGUAUGAAGUCGGAAUCGCUAGUAAUCGCAGAUCAGAAUGCUGCGGUGAAUACGUUCCCGGGCCUUGUACACACCGCCCGUCACACCAUGGGAGUGGGUUGCACCAGAAGUAGUUAGCUUAACCGCAAGGGGAGCGAUUACCACGGUGUGAUUCAUGACUGGGGUGAAGUCGUAACAAGGUA